CUAAUACAUGCAAGUCGAGCGGCAAGUCGAGGAGUAAUCUAAGACCUAGAGCGGCGCACGGGUGCGUAACGCGUAUGCAACCUACCUUAUACUGGGGGAUAGCCCGGAGAAAUCUGGAUUAAUACCCCAUGGCACAUAUUGAUGGCAUCUGAGAUAUGUUAAAGAUUUAUUGGUAUAAGAUGGGCAUGCGUCUGAUUAGCUAGUUGGCGGUGUAACGGACCACCAAGGCGACGAUCAGUAGGGGUUCUGAGAGGAAGGUCCCCCACACUGGCACUGAGAUACGGGCCAGACUCCUACGGGAGGCAGCAGUAGGGAAUAUUGGGCAAUGGUCGGAAGACUGACCCAGCCAUGCCGCGUGCAGGAAGACGGCCCUCUGGGUUGUAAACUGCUUUUAUCUGGGAAGAAAAAGGCCAUGCGUGGCAAAUUGCCGGUACCAGAUGAAUAAGCACCGGCUAACUCCGUGCCAGCAGCCGCGGUAAUACGGAGGGUGCAAGCGUUGUCCGGAUUUAUUGGGUUUAAAGGGUGCGUAGGCGGCUGAUUAAGUCAGCGGUGAAAGACUUCGGCUUAACCGGAGCAGUGCCGUUGAUACUGAUUAGCUUGAGUGUUGGAGGGGUACAUGGAAUUGAUGGUGUAGCGGUGAAAUGCAUAGAUANCNUCAGGAACACCGAUAGCGAAGGCAUUGUACUGGCCAACAACUGACGCUGAGGCACGAAAGUGUGGGGAUCGAACAGGAUUAGAUANCNCUGGUAGUCCACACUGUAAACGAUGAUUACUCGCUGUUAUGGUGUAUACUGUAGCGGCCAAGCGAAAGCGUUAAGUAAUC
rnacentral:rRNA from 1 species